AGUGAACGCUGGCGGUAGGCCUAACACAUGCAAGUCGAACGGCAGCACAGUAAGAGCUUGCUCUUACGGGUGGCGAGUGGCGGACGGGGGAGGAAUACAUCGGAAUCUACUUUUUCGUGGGGGAUAACGUAGGGAAACUUACGCUAAUACCGCAUACGACCUACGGGUGAAAGCAGGGGAUCUUCGGACCUUGCGCGAUUGAAUGAGCCGAUGUCGGAUUAGCUAGUUGGCGGGGUAAAGGCCCACCAAGGCGACGAUCCGUAGCUGGUCUGAGAGGAUGAUCAGCCACACUGGGACUGAGACACGGUCCAGACUCCUACGGGAGGCAGCAGUGGGGAAUAUUGGACAAUGGGCGCAAGCCUGAUCCAGCCAUACCGCGUGGGUGAAGAAGGCCUUCGGGUUGUAAAGCCCUUUUGUUGGGAAAGAAAAGCAGCAGGUUAAUACCCCGCUGUUCUGACGGUACCCAAAGAAUAAGCACCGGCUAACUUCGUG
rnacentral:rRNA from 1 species